AGGUUACGCACAGCCACCAAACAACACGACGCCGCCCGGGUGACAGAGAGGGGGAGGGGGAGGGGGAGUCCGCCGCUCGACGCGGCACGCCAGCGAAAUGACGUCAACGCGGAUCAUAUAUGAUGCUGUUCAUCCUGCUGACACAUUUCUAUGGAGCACUGCCACAAGAAAGCAACAAGGACCUCCGCCAUCCAGACCGUGCGGACUUCUCACUACUACAAGAUUCCAACGUUUGCGCCUCCCAUGUCAUUUGUGUGUUAAUCGAUCUGUCGCCGCCAGAGGGCUCCCAACUCCAGAACGAUCCCUCUCCCUCGCUCGUUGAGGAGAGGAGAAAGAGAGUGUUUGUGAGGAGAUAGAUGGACAUAUAGAUAGUAUAUAACGUGUGUUCCCUUAAAUGCCUCAGCAAACAUCUUGAAAGGGAUUCACAGAAAAAUACCUUAUGCGUUAUACAUCAAAUAAGCUCAGUUCCCCGCUUGAAAUAGGACACUACAGCUCAGAAACAGGCCCUUCGGUCUAUCUAGUCCCUGUCGAACUGUAAUUCUGCCUGGUCCUAUUGAACCACAACUGGACCAUAGCCCUCCAUGCCUCUCCCAUCCACGUAUUUAUCAAAACUUCUCUUAAAUGUUGCAAUGAAGCCGCGUCCACCACUUCCACUGGCAGCUCGAUCCACACUCUCACCACCCUCUGAGUGACGAAGUUCCCCCUCAGGUUCCCCUCAAAUAUUUCAUCUUUCACCCUUAACCUAUGACCUCACUCAACCUCAAUGCGGAAAACCCUGUCUACACUCCUCAUAUUUAAUGGGCAGCCGGUGGACCUGCUGCGUCCUUGUUUGGCCGUCAUCAGUAGAAAGAUCGGCAAGUCCCCCACCAGGCCGGACCGAGUUUGGUAAUAACAAUUCUCAAAGCUGGGGAGCCGUCUCCGUGAAACUUCAUCCCGUUCAGGCUGCUGUUGUUGGCGCCAGACGUCGCGAUACAGUUGUAAAUCCACAUGGUAGCGUUCAAAUAUUUAAUUUAUGGAGAUUAGACACAUUAUAAUCCACAGUUUAGUCAAAAUUGUGGGUUUUAAUAGUCGCUGAAGUUAACCUUUCUCUCCCCCAAACUUCUGUUUCAUACAAUAGGAUUUAAGAUUCAGUAUCAGGUUUAACAUCAACUGGCAUACGGUGAGAAAUUUGUUGUACUUGCGGCAGCAGUGCAAUGGAAUACAUAGUAAAAUGGUUUACAGUAAGUAUAUAUUGAAUAGUUAAAUCAAAUACGUAAUGGAAAUAGUUAAAUAAGUAAUGCAAGCAGUUAAAUUAAAUAAGUACUUUAAGAUCGUUUAUUGACAUUCUUCAGUACACAGCUAUAAAGAAGAACGAUACGAUUGUUAAUUUGGAUCCGAUGUAAAAUGAAAACACAAUAAGAUAAACAUAAUAAAUAUAAACACAAAAGCCAUGCUGUAAAACGCGAUGUACAAGUAACUUUUAAAAACACAGACGUGUUGUAUGUACGUUCUUGAUUAGCCAGGGCAUCAAAGGGUAAAGGGUAUGGGGUGAAGGCAGGGGAGUGGGGAUGACUGGAGAAUUGGAUCAGCCCAUGAUUGAAUGGCCUACUUCUGUACCUGUAUCUUAUGAUCUUAUAAUG